rnacentral:rRNA from 1 species
CGCGUAGGCGGUUUGAUCAGUCGGAUGUGAAAGCCCCGGGCUCAACCUGGGAACUGCAUUCGAUACUGUCUAACUAGAAUGUGGUAGAGGGAAGUGGAAUUCCAGGUGUAGCGGUGAAAUGCGUAGAUAUCUGGAGGAACAUCAGUGGCGAAGGCGACUUCCUGGACCAACAUUGGCGCUGAGGUGCGAAAGCGUGGGGAGCAAACA